rnacentral:rRNA from 1 species
AUUGAACGCUGGCGGCAUCCCUUACACAUGCAAGUCGAACGGUAACGGGCCUUCGGGUGCCGACGAGUGGCGAACGGGUGAGUAAUACAUCGGAACGUGCCCGAUCGUGGGGGAUAACGAGGCGAAAGCUUUGCUAAUACCGCAUACGAUCUACGGAUGAAAGCAGGGGACCGCAAGGCCUUGCGCGGACGGAGCGGCCGAUGGCAGAUUAGGUAGUUGGUGGGAUAAAAGCUUACCAAGCCGACGAUCUGUAGCUGGUCUGAGAGGAUGAUCAGCCACACUGGGACUGAGACACGGCCCAGACUCCUACGGGAGGCAGCAGUGGGGAAUUUUGGACAAUGGGCGCAAGCCUGAUCCAGCCAUGCCGCGUGCAGGAUGAAGGCCUUCGGGUUGUAAACUGCUUUUGUACGGAACGAAAAGCCUUCUUUUAAUACAGGAGGGUCAUGACGGUACCGUAAGAAUAAGCACCGGCUAACUACGUG